CCUGGCUACGGGAGGCAGCAGUAGGGAAUCUUCGGCAAUGGGGGCAACCCUGACCGAGCAACGCCGCGUGAGUGAAGAAGGUUUUCGGAUCGUAAAGCUCUGUUGUAAGAGAAGAACGUGUGUGAGAGUGGAAAGUUCACACAGUGACGGUAACUUACCAGAAAGGGACGGCUAACUACGUGCCAGCAGCCGCGGC
rnacentral:rRNA from 1 species